UGGUAGAUGCACCCUGAUAACUCACUCCCCUAGUUGGUUUAUACCUGCUAGGGGGUUUUUUA
rnacentral:sRNA from 1 species